rnacentral:rRNA from 1 species
AUUGAACGCUGGCGGCAGGCCUAACACAUGCAAGUCGAGCGAGCGGCGGACGGGUGAGUAAUGUCUGGGAAACUGCCUGAUGGAGGGGGAUAACUACUGGAAACGGUAGCUAAUACCGCAUACCAUCAGAUGUGCCCAGAUGGGUGUAGCUAUUAGGUGGGGUAACGGCUCACCUAGGCGACGAUCCCUAGCUGGUCUGAGAGGAUGACCAGCCACACUGGAGCUGGGACACGGUCCAGGGUCCUGCGGGAGGCGGGAGUGGGGAAUAGUGCACAAUGGGCGCAAGCCUGAUGCAGCCGUGCCGCGUGUAUGAAGAAGGCCUUCGGGUUGUAAAGUACUUUCAGCGGGGAGGCGUUACCCGCAGAAGAAGCACCGGCUAACUCCGUGCCAGCCGCCGCGGUAAUUC